rnacentral:misc_RNA from 1 species
GGAAUAACUCGGCCACAAUGGAUAACCAUUUCAAGUAUGGCUAUUGUAAGGCACAGGAGAUAACAGAAACAAGAGACAUUAAUAUAUCUGAAUUGCAGUGUGCGCCCUCCAAAGUCCUGAUCAACCACAUGCCAUUAAGGAGGGAAAAAAACUGAUGGCAUUGGAUCACAGGACAGAUCUACAGAUACUUUGUAUACAUAUAAAAAAGGACAAGCUUAAUUUACAUGUAGAAGACGGCCGGAAGAAAAGUAAAACUUAUCUUCAUAGAAGGCAAAAACCUAAACAAGUACAUGAAGCACCACCACUACCAGCAAUGACUUCAACAAACAAAACUGGGAUGUAAGUAGCCGGGCUGAGGCAGCUGAUGGUUUAGAUGGAGCUCUUCCAGCAACAGCAGGUGAAACCGCAUGUCCUCCAGGAGUGCUCUGCUGCUCAUUUGUUGGUAAUGGGUUAGCUGGUGCCCCACUGGGAGAAGUAAGAGGCAUCCUCUUGCCAUCACUUCGACCUUCACAAUCGGAGCGUGACCAUCCCAACUUCAAAUUUUCCCUAUCAAACACCACUCGAUAUCCCGUCAUGAAAUUUUGUCCAAUGGCUCCAAUAUCUUCAUCAGUUGGUUGAAUGGCUAAACAAAAUCCAGCAACUCCCUGCAUGCCAUAGAUCAUAAAAACAGGAUUAUGGAUCACAAAGCUGUUGUUUAACGGGAAAAUGAGCUUCACAGAUGGCACCUUGGGCGAGUCCUUUGAACUGGAUUUGUAACAAUACUUCCAGGGAUAACCGUCAAAGCUGGAGAUCGUAACAUUCACUUGUCGGUCAAACUCCUCAGUAACUCUUUCAUAAACAUCUUCUGGAAGAAAUGUGAAUGAUGUGCCAGUAUCAACUAGUGCCCUAAAGCUUGUCUGCUUAAGGCAAGAACUGCCAACACAACAGGCCUCCACUCCCACGAUGUAUGUUGUGUAAUUCCCAUUUAGAGUGAGGAAUGGAGUAGAUUGCUGGGUUGUUGGUCCCUGAUCACCAAAAAAUAUUCUCCCAGAAUCAUCCUCAUCAAAGCACAUUGAGAAAGAGUUUCUGAUCAAUCCUGCUUUAGCAAGAAAACUGGGAACUGAAAUUUCUGACAGUCCUAAACCCAUCAGACCAUCAGGUGCAACCCCGUCCAAGUAACCACCACUUUGCUUCAUGCCACAUCCUAUGACCACUGCAGCCUGCACAGAAGCAUUUAAUGCAUUAUCACCAUCUGAUGCAAGAUGUAAUAUGUCCUCAAGCAGCAAUCCAGAACUUGAUGUGUUUUCUGUGUAAUAAUCAAUAGCGUAAGGGCAUGGCUGUUUAGGGCUUUUGCAGUUCGGACCUGAUUCACAUAACCGAUGGCUGCAAGAUAGGUGCUUGCUGGUACUUGAAUGAGAAGGACUAUAUUCAUUCAGAUCUCUAUCCAGACUGUUAUAGUAACUUGCAGAUAGGGGGGCACAUUGCACGCAAUCGCAAGGCACCCAGAGUAGAUCACUUCCAGCAUCCAGUGCAACAAGAAAUGACACAUGAGGUGUCCCUAUAUCAAUCCAGGUGUAGUGCAACCAUCCAAAGUCAUUUCCAAGCGACAUCGUUUUGCUGCCUUCGGAAGGGAAGAGAAAAUUGUAAUGAGGUCCAAGCUUCAUCUUCUGCCUCUGGAAGUCACUGCUCACGAGCUUCUGGUAAUACUCCACACUCUUCUUCUCAGGCCACAAGUUCCUCAUGCUCAAGCUUCCGUACUUCGAAACCCUAAGCGUCUUCAUUUCGUCAGAGAACCGGUGAAUCAGCUUCGACGAGAAUGUAAUUUCUAAGCUCUCCCCCACAAGAAGGCUCGCCAUUACCAAAAUAAGCAGAGAUCGAGCCGCCCUCGAAAUGUGCAGCAAGCAAGGGUGGGCGGCUGAUGAUCUAGCAGUGUGCAAAUGACAAUAGAAAAAAUGAACAGAAUAGGGCAAUUUAGAGUGCUUUUAAGCAAUAAGAUGGAGAUCUAGCGUUUUGAGGCUAGUGUUGAAAUGUGUAUAGCUCCGGCCACCGUGUGUAGGAGGGAUGAGCCACCGAUUUUUUCAGGGCCGGCGAAGAGAAGGAGCAAAUAUU